GCUUCACAGUGUCAGCAGAGAGCUCAAUGAGGGCUCGAACUCAUGAAGCAUGAGAUCAUACCAAGCGGCAGACGGUCAAUGGCCUGAGCCACCCGGGCACCCUGAAGAGAAAGACGUGUACAAGUCAGCUCUCCGGGGAAGUGUCUCCGUGCAGCUGGGAACUCAUGGUUUACAAGGAAGUUAUUCACAAUUUCAAGGAUCGUCUGAAUCGUAGGAUUGGAAGCGUGAGGAAUAAAACUGAAACUGCAGUUACGGACUCACUAGUGCAGAGCUUGGCUGGGAAAGUAAGGCCACAGGCUGCAUGUUGCCGAAAGGAUGAACAGUGUUGAGUAAAGUAUUCAGAAAUCUA